ensembl:lncRNA
AAUAGUCAGGAAAUAAAAGCCCAUUACAAGCGGUAAAUUUUAUUAUGGGAUAACAGCACAUAAAGCACAUCUAAAAUCGAUGUGUCCAAUGCACUUUUAAUAAAGGUAAUAUUAAAGGUACAGUUUCUAAGUACAAUAUAACAACAUUCAUAUUAGAAUGAAAAGUAUUUAAAAGACAACAUUAAAUUUCUUAUUUUUCUUUACAGCUGUAUUUACAAAAUGAAUCAAAAUACUUAUUUUCAUAUUUGAGAAUCAGACAAGGAGCAAAACUACGUUUGUGAAUAGACUACCUGCUAAAGAGAGUUCAAAAGAGCUGGAUAAAAAGGUACAUGAUCAUCUGUCUCCAUUUUAACAUCAGUAGCAAAUGUGUGACUUAGAAAUUUGUGACAACCACACACUAGUUUUGACUUUCUCAUAAUUUGCACUGCUUUUGCAUGGAAAAAGAAUCCACCCCAGCUCCACCCACCCUCCACGUUAAGUUACCCCAACUGAAUGAGCGCACAUUGAACACAGAACAUUAAAGAAAUCCAAAUGUGUUGUAUGUCUCUUUUACAAACACAUACAACUACUCAAUAUACAAUGCAUUGGUAAACCUCAUUAAAAAAAACACAGAAACAAACAGAUAUUGAAGAAAUGUGGGUUGCCUGUUUUGUCUGACCAAAAGAAAGGUGAACUUUAUUUAUUUAGCAUUUAUUUGACCAUUCUUCAAGAUCAACAUGAAACAAACUUCCCAGUUGUGUUUCUCAAAAAACAAGGUAAGGGGUGACGAUGUACACUCUAAACGCACCAACUACACAUUGAAACCCUUUAACAUCGAGCGCAUCAACCCACAUGAAGGGUUAAAAAAAAAAAUCACGUAAAGAAAGAAUCUGAAAAACAUUUGAAGCAUGUGAGAGUUAAGAAUUCAUCCUCAUGUACAAAAUACAUCGUCACUUCAGUACACCUGUGUAAAACCACAAAAAAAUGACAAUCAAAACCAUGUAUGCAUCCUGUUACACCGAGAGGCACUCAGUGUGAUACGUUGUGUAUUAUUGCAAGCAUAUUCUCACUGAUAUUUGCUACAGAGUGGAGAGAAAAGGUCAACUUUGUCCUCAAAUUGCAAUUUUUUUUCAUGUACGGUAAAAUUGUAACACUUGAUGUGGUGCAAGAGGUUUACGCUACUGGUGUGAAGGAGCCAGUUUCUGGAUAGUCUAAAAUUGGGAAUAACAAAAGCAUAUACCGAGACUCUGUUUAAUAAAUCCAAGCACCACUUCCCUGCAUCAGGUGAAGAACUAUGCAGACACAAAGAGAGGUAAAUAUUAAGUAUCUUAAAACCUGACCAACUAUAGCCUCAGUGAGUGGUUUAUUACAAUCAGACAGAGAAAAAAAAAAAAAAACACAAUUCAGCGGUUUCAGUUUGAAUCUUAGCAUUUUUCCACAAACCAGAAAAGCAACCUUAAAUAGUUUGUUAAUUAGGAGACACUAGCUGUCCUAUAAGUCAGAAGGAAAUAAGUGCCUUAUCCCGAGACUAGCACACUGAUACAGGUACCAACCGGGUAAUUUUACCACUAUCAUUUUUAAUAUCAUUAUAAUUUAUUGAGUCCUAAUAUCAAUCACACAUUAAUAUGCAAUGAAAUGAAUGGACUAAUAGGGAAGCCAGGCGUAGGAAUUAAUACUUAGUUCACAAAAUUAACUUAACCUAGCACCACACAUCAGGGCAACACAAAAUAAAUGUCAGCACACCCGAUCUCUAUCAAACUAAUCCUAAAGGAGGGAAGCAAACUAGAGAGAUAUCGUACAAAAGGGGGUAAUUGACAAACAGAUAAAUAGUUUCCCAGGGUAGGCCUUAGUAGCAGUAUUUUCUUCUUACCUAUACAGACAGAAAUUACAGAGCUACCUUUAUACAUGUGAUCAAUGAUAUUAAAUAUGGUGAAUAAGCGGCUGACAAUGAGGGAGAUCAAGAGUGGGAAAAGAAGUUCUUAGUUCUCCACCUGGGAACAGAACUGGUCAAAUAUACAAAUGGAACAUAAAAAAAUCCACAAAAUUAACACAAGGUAAACCAAAAAGUGAUAAAUUAAAAAGGUGUAUUUACAUGCAGAUGUUCAAAGACUAUUAUGCACAAAAGAAUCCAAAAUAAAACACAGACAUAUAUUAUUGCUUGACAUUCGAUUAUGGCUAAAAGUUGCUUUUCAUUUUUUUUUCUUCACUAUAUUCUUAAACUUAUUUUGAAUCAUAAAUACUUAUCAGCUGUGCUUUGGAAAAUGAGUUGCUUAGAAUAUGAUGACCGACUCAUAAUUUCGGGAUAACACACCGACACUCCAGCACAACGUUAAGCGCGACGUAACACUGAUCUUCACAAUUUAUGGCCGAGAAGACUCGUUUAAACAAUUUACUCUCUCGAAAUUCGUUUCAAUCCAUCACAGCUCGGGCCGUGGCCGCACUGUCCGAACCGAUAAUGUUUUGCGCUGAGAAGCUGGUCAAUGGUGCCUCCCAGGAUUCGGCACACUCAUGAAUUGUUGAAGGUAUUAUGUCAUGCUUUAAAAAAAAAAAAAAACUACACCUAUUAUGGAUGGAUCAAGCUCGGCAAUUCCAAAACCGUACAUUUCUAAAAUAGACCAAGAGAAAAUCCUUUUCCACGUAACCCUGUUCCUUUGUAAUUAUUAAAGCCUUGUCUGGGGUUUCAUUUAUUCACACACUGUGAGAACAAACACACACACACACACACACACACUAUUGCUUUGUACAGACAGACAACGGAGCAGAGACAGAAGGACCAGCACAUUUGACUGUAUACUACACACUGAUUGAAUAGCACACUUAGCAUCAAUCCCUUACAUAAACUGGGUUAUAUCAUGUGAGAAUACACAGAAGGACAUCACUUUACAGGCCUGUGUGAAGGCGCAGUUUAUCGUUAGACACAAGAAGUCAUGUGUUCGAUGACCAUUUUCUGCUAUCGUGCCAAGAUCAUAACAGUACAGAGAUGACAGAGUGUGGGUAUUUUUUUUGUAUAUCAUUAGUUUGAUUCAGCGGAACAAAGUCAAAUAAAAAAGGACGAUGACUGCACUGUAGAGACCCGUAUUGUAAGACAAGGCAUAUUGCUUGUUUUGUAUUGUAGAACACAUUAUACGCCAUUCGGGAAAAAAAAAGAUUUUUUUUCCCCCACUUUAUCAGAGACGAAAGAGACCUCAGCUGAUCAUGUUUAAGAAAAAUACUGAAUUGUUUUAGGCGACCAUCAAGCGAUAUUACAACAGCUUAAGAAAAUGGAAUCAUUUUUUUUUUGCAAAUAAAUAACAGGAUUUCAGCUGAGCCUCCAUCUAUUAAUACUUUUCUGAACAGUAAGUGCUCGCUGCUCCAAACGUUCGAUGUGCUACGCCGCCCUCCUCAUAUCAUCGGGUGCUUUGAAGAGAUUUUAAAGACCUCAUAAAU